rnacentral:rRNA from 1 species
GACAGAGGUGCCGAGCGUUAGGCGGAAUCACUGGGCUUAAAGCGUGUGUAGGCGGACCGUUAAGUACCUUGUGAAAUCCCACGGCUCACCCGUGGAACGGCUGGGUAGACUGGCGGUCUUGGGCCACCUAGGGGCAGAUGGAACAGACGGUGGAGCGGUGAAAUGCGUAGAUAUCGUCUGGAACGCCAAAGGUGAAAACAGUCUGCUGGGGGUGUGCCGACGCUGAGACACGAAAGCCAGGGGAGCAAACGGG